rnacentral:misc_RNA from 1 species
GAUGAAGAACGUAGCGAAAUGCGAUAAGUAAUGUGAAUUGCAGAAUUCAGUGAAUCAUCGAAUCUUUGAACGCACAUUGCGCCCGCCAGUAUUCUGGCGGGCAUGCCUGUUCGAGCGUCAUUUCAACCCUCAAGACCCCUUCGGGGGACUUGGUGUUGGGGACCGGCACAGGGGCCUGCCUGCUUGUCUUGCAGCGCCCUCGCCGCCCCCGAAAUGAAUUGGCGGCCUCGUCGCGGCCUCCCCUGCGUAGUAGCACAACCUCGCAACGGGAACGUGACGGCGGCCACUGCCGUAAAACAACCCCAAUUUUAUUAGAGUUGACCUCGAAUCAGGUAGGAAUACCCGCUGAACUUAAGCAUAGCAAUAAGCGGAGGA